rnacentral:rRNA from 1 species
GAUGAACGCUGGCGGCGUGCCUAAUACAUGCAAGUCGAGCGAACGGACGAGAAGCUUGCUUCUCUGAUGUUAGCGGCGGACGGGUGAGUAACACGUGGAUAACCUACCUAUAAGACUGGGAUAACUUCGGGAAACCGUAGCUAAUACCGGAUAAUAUUUUGAACCGCAUGGUUCAAAAGUGAAAGACGGUCUUGCUGUCACUUAUAGAUGGAUCCGCGCUGCAUUAGCUAGUUGGUAAGGUAACGGCUUACCAAGGCAACGAUGCAUAGCCGACCUGAGAGGGUGAUCGGCCACACUGGAACUGAGACACGGUCCAGACUCCUACGGGAGGCAGCAGUAGGGAAUCUUCCGCAAUGGGCGAAAGCCUGACGGAGCAACGCCGCGUGAGUGAUGAAGGUCUUCGGAUCGUAAAACUCUGUUAUUAGGGAAGAACAUAUGUGUAAGUAACUGUGCACAUCUUGACGGUACCUAAUCAGAAAGCCACGGCUAACUACGUGCCAGCAGCCGCGGUAAUACGUAGGUGGCAAGCGUUAUCCGGAAUUAUUGGGCGUAAAGCGCGCGUAGGCGGUUUUUUAAGUCUGAUGUGAAAGCCCACGGCUCAACCGUGGAGGGUCAUUGGAAACUGGAAAACUUGAGUGCAGAAGAGGAAAGUGGAAUUCCAUGUGUAGCGGUGAAAUGCGCAGAGAUAUGGAGGAACACCAGUGGCGAAGGCGACUUUCUGGUCUGUAACUGACGCUGAUGUGCGAAAGCGUGGGGAUCAAACAGGAUUAGAUACCCUGGUAGUCCACGCCGUAAACGAUGUGUGCUAAGUGUUAGGGGGUUUCCGCCCCUUAGUGCUGCAGCUAACGCAUUAAGCACUCCGCCUGGGGAGUACGACCGCAAGGUUGAAACUCAAAGGAAUUGACGGGGACCCGCACAAGCGGUGGAGCAUGUGGUUUAAUUCGAAGCAACGCGAAGAACCUUACCAAAUCUUGACAUCCUUUGACAACUCUAGAGAUAGAGCCUUCCCCUUCGGGGGACAAAGUGACAGGUGGUGCAUGGUUGUCGUCAGCUCGUGUCGUGAGAUGUUGGGUUAAGUCCCGCAACGAGCGCAACCCUUAAGCUUAGUUGCCAUCAUUAAGUUGGGCACUCUAAGUUGACUGCCGGUGACAAACCGGAGGAAGGUGGGGAUGACGUCAAAUCAUCAUGCCCCUUAUGAUUUGGGCUACACACGUGCUACAAUGGACAAUACAAAGGGCAGCGAAACCGCGAGGUCAAGCAAAUCCCAUAAAGUUGUUCUCAGUUCGGAUUGUAGUCUGCAACUCGACUACAUGAAGCUGGAAUCGCUAGUAAUCGUAGAUCAGCAUGCUACGGUGAAUACGUUCCCGGGUCU